CUGGUCUUCAAUAGGGGUAGGUUCAAAACUUCAAAGCUGCUGUUCGAUCUGAAAUGGUAGGCUAUAUCUACUGUUCUGAUGUAAAUUAUAUCAAGCGUUCUUCUAGUGUGUGUGCGUGUGCUGUAUUUCCAAUGCAUACUUGCUUUUGCUUGUUUCCAUUUCUCAUGAUGUACCUUAUUUCACAUUGCUGAAUGUUUUGAUGGAUUGGAUCUCAACGAUGAAUUGAUCUUGAACCGUUCAAAAAUACCUCAGUGAUCUUGAACGCACCCCUUGUCAGACAAAAAUAUUUCUGAUCGGCAAUGAGCGCAAAUCUUUUCCGCAGCGAUACACGGCCACUAACACACACCAACGUUAUUUUUUUUUCUGGAUGAUAAAGGUCGAUUUGUCAGAUAAUAGGUUGAUAACGCUAAUCGAGAUAUGGCAGCAGUCAGCUUCUCCGAGGCACUCUGUCAGCCGUGCGUUUAUCACGAGAAAUUCAAAGUUGAGCUGAAUGUAAAGAGACCCCUGAUGCCUGUCCACCUGAGUCCAGAGCAGGUGGGGCUGGAGAUGCUGUAUCUCUGUGGACAACUGGACCUUCUCAUCAGGGCACAGGUACACCAGUUCCAGGAGCAGCUGAGACAGGACUGUAGCCCUGAGGAGUCGGCCACUUUCCAGGAGCAAGGAGCAGAGAUUAUUGAUCAGAUGCUCCAAUGCUUAGAACACCUGCCAAAACCUAUGCCGCACCUGGAGGACUAUCUUGACAUGGUGGGUCUGUCGACCAUGUACCCUCGCGUGGAGGUGUUCCUCAUCCAGGGCAGUCCAGUAGACAUGCUGGAGAAACCCCCAAUGGAUGAAUACUUCUCACACAUCGGGAGGCUCAAUCAGCUACUAGUACUUAGUCAGCAGCUAGAGGAGGAUGUAAAACAUCUCGGGAGCCACAAAUACAUCGCCCACCAGCUGUCAGUUAUAUAUCAAGUGCUCAGCUCAUUCCGAGGUAUCCAGCCACUGUCAGUCCUGAAGAAAGAGAUUGAGGCCAACUUCAGACAGAUGAAGACAUCUUUGCUGACGGAGGAGGGCUCCAGGCAGGAGCCUCAGCUCCCAGCACACUACAUCAGCUGGAUAUUGGAGCUGACUCUUAGUAUAACGUCAACAGUCUCCUCGCUACCAGAGGAACUCACUGAAGACCUGAGUCCAGCCAUGACCUUUGUGUCCCAGCUAUGACAUCACACCUGACAUUGAGCCCGUGUUACAUAUUACCAACCCGUGGAGCUGAGGGUCAACAACAUUUAAACAAAUUGUUUUUUAUUAAUGUCCGACAGACCAACCCGGUGAUUCAAGAAUGAUGUUUUGACAUGUCACUGUCAUUUUAUUGAAUAGGGUCCUAAGCUCUCAUUGGUUAAGUGGAUGAAUGUUAAUGAAUGUGUUAUAAAUGUGUUAGGCCAAAUGUCUAAAAAAGAGGUGCUAAAUAAUGUUACUGUAUGAAAUUGCAUUUGAACAAAUUGUUUACAUUGGCCAAUGAAUUAAAUUGAGAGAUAAGCCUAUAGACUGAAAAUCUUCUGAAUUUCAAUAACAGAGAUUGACCACGAGUCAUAGAUUUGAAAGAGUACAGGCUAAUCGGGCAAAAUGGCCACGGAAGUUCAAGGCCGACCGUGGUAGAGCAUACAUUGUUAGCGGAAAACAGGAUAGUGAAUGGAAAAAUGGAAAUCCUCAUGGUCAAUCAUCGUCUGAAUAAAUACACAUUUGAAAGAAAACC
ensembl:lncRNA